UGGGGAAUUUUGGACAAUGGGCGCAAGCCUGAUCCAGCCAUGCCGCGUGCGGGAAGAAGGCCUUCGGGUUGUAAACCGCUUUUGUCAGGGAAGAAAUCUUCUGAGUUAAUACCUCGGGAGGAUGACGGUACCUGAAGAAUAAGCACCGGCUAACUACGUGCCAGCAGCCGCGGUAAUACGUAGGGUGCAAGCGUUAAUCGGAAUUACUGGGCGUAAAGCGUGCGCAGGCGGUUUUGUAAGACAGAGGUGAAAUCCCCGGGCUCAACCUGGGAACUGCCUUUGUGACUGCAAGGCUUGAGUGCGGCAGAGGGGGAUGGAAUUCCGCGUGUAGCAGUGAAAUGCGUAGAUAUGCGGAGGAACACCGAUGGCGAAGGCAAUCCCCUGGGCCUGCACUGACGCUCAUGCACGAAAGCGUGGGGAGCAAACAGGAUUAGAUACCCUGGUAGUCCACGCCCUAAACGAUGUCAACUGGUUGUUGGG
rnacentral:rRNA from 1 species